UCCACUAACCAUGAAAGAGAGACAGAAGAGACCAGUAGAGCCCCUGGAGUGUGACACAUCUGGAGUCCCCAUAUGACAGCUAACAUGUUCAGGGCGCAGAACUUACUCAGCAUCAAAGUUAUCUUUCCUUAAAGAUUAUUACUUAGAAGUUGGGAAGAGAGAAAACUGCCUUACUGCUUAGCAAAUCCAAUGUACCUAAGCAUGUCUGCUCUAGAAAACAGAAACCUUGAGGAACCCACAGCUGAACAGAAAACUCUGCCUUUAAAGACUUCAACGAACUUUUAGGAUGCCAGAACUCUGACGUGCUGCCUGCCUUCUGCAGCAGGUCCAAAUAUCCACAUCUUCACAUAUAGAAUUUAAGCCUCCUUGUUUUUCUCACAGGAUUAACAAUCCAUAUUAGCAUUCAUGAGAAACCACUGGGAUUACUUAUGUCCCUAUCUAAUACGUGUUUUCUCCAGAAACCCUGCUCCUCACCACUGGACCACAUGUGCUCCUUGCCCAGCCACACCUGCCAUUACUCCUAUUUCCAAGCAAACCUCCUGGAAAGCAGCCAUUGCUGUGACAACUCCAGAGCAUCUCACUACACAGUGAAAUUAAUUCCAACAUUCAUGACUUCAAAAGAAGCAGCGCUUAGUUUGCAACUUUAAGACAGAUGAAGAAGUAAAGGCAAAACAGAUAGAAGUGACAUCCAACAGAAAUGUUCAAGUUUUUGCUAGUAUUACUCCUAAGGGAUAAUUUUUGACCCCAAGUUUAUGUAUUUUUGACGAGGCUGCCUUAAAUCUCUUUUAUUCUGUAUAUGUUAGGAGCAAAAUUUAUUUGUAUGUAUUAAGGAGUGUUUUUCUCUGUUUAUGUAGGCAUGAAAUUUAGUACUACUGUGUCUGAGUAAAGACCUUUACCGUUGACCUCUAGAUGAGGGUGCCACCAGUAUAAAGCAAUUAACAAAG